AGGGUAUGUAAGUCUCGUCAUGUGACUUGCGAGAUUUCACGAUAUUUUGCACUUCCGGGUACAAACAAAUAUCAACAACAUUGCUUAUCUAUAUUGGGUAAUACUUGUAUGCCGGUGGGAAAGUAAAACUUACACGGAAAAGCAAAGGAUAUGUUAAAAUUGGAGUGUUUUGUUUUGUAACGAAAUGCAAAUGGUUUCAUCUUGUGAACAAGUAUCAAUGAAAGACAACUUCGUAUAAUCUUCAGAUAUUAAGACUGAGGAAAGUGGUGAGUUGAAAGACGUCAACUGGUAUCCGAUGUAAACACACAUGCAUGCUCUGCUGUAAAAUCGUUUUGGUAUGUGAUUUCAUGGUUGGAUCUUGAGUACUUGUCAUGGCUCUUGAUUUAUUUUGGAGUGUUCACCAUCAGAUUAGAAACCAAAUAGUGAUACCACCAGACAUAGUUGAAAGGAAAUGUCCAUACACAGUCCUGGAGUACAUAGUGGUACCUAGAGACAUGGCAGUCCAUCACAGAUUUUGACUGAAUUAAAGCUUCUUAAAGCUCCAUGUCUUGUGUAAACUGUCUGACUGAAUGUUUGUAUUCUAAUAAAAACUAAGGUUGAAGACACUUCAAAGAUAUAUGUCAGUGUAAAAAUGUUAAACAAAAUAUCUGUCUUUGUUAGAAAUAAAUAACCUGUCUUUGUUAGAAAUAAAUAACCUGUCAUUUGUAACUUUGUAUUAACUUAAUAAUUCAAAGAUAAUUUAUCUUCUGCAAAUGGCUGUCCAAAACAGUUUCAACCAGGCAUCAUGUAGUUUCAAAACAGUUAAGAUAAAAUUGUUUUAAAUAGACUCAUAAGGUGACAAAAAUGGUAAAAAGAUAAAUGAUCUGCAUUAAAAUGUUUCUAUCUUGAUUGAGUUUCAUUUCAUACUAUCACCAUUAUCACUGCAAUUGUAA